rnacentral:rRNA from 1 species
AGUCGAACGCCCUCUUCGGAGGGAGUGGCAGACGGGUGAGUAACGCGUGGGAAUCUACCUAGUGGUGGAGGAUAACUUCGGGAAACCGGAGCUAAUACUCCAUAAGCCCUUCGGGGGAAAGUUUUUUCGCCAUUAGAUGAGCCCGCGUUAGAUUAGCUUGUUGGUAGGGUAAUGGCCUACCAAGGCGACGAUCUAUAGCUGGUCUGAGAGGAUGAUCAGCCACACUGGAACUGAGACACGGUCCAGACUCCUACGGGAGGCAGCAGUGGGGAAUAUUGCACAAUGGGCGCAAGCCUGAUGCAGCCAUGCCGCGUGUGUGAUGAAGGCCUUAGGGUUGUAAAACACUUUCAUCGGUGAAGAUAAUGACGGUAGCCGAAGAAGAAGCCCCGGCUAACUCCGUGCCAGCAGCCGCGGUAAUACGGAGGGGGCAAGCGUUGUUCGGAAUUACUGGGCGUAAAGCGCACGUAGGCGGACUGAUCAGUUGGGGGUGAAAUCCCGAGGCUUAACCUCGGAACUGCCUUCAAUACUGUCAGUCUUGAGAUCGGAAGAGGUGAGUGGAAUUCCUAGUGUAGAGGUGAAAUUCGUAGAUAUCGGGAAGAACAUCGGUGGCGAAAGCGCUUUGCUAGACCAAAACUGACACUCAGGGACGAAAGCUAGGGGAGCGAAUGGGAUUAGAUACCCCAGUAGUCCUAGCCGUAAACGAUGGAUACUAGGUGUUGCCUGUAUCGACC